UCUAGUAUGGCAGAAUAGUGCAAUGAAUUUAAGAUUCAUAUAUGAGUAUAUACUCUACUAGAA
rnacentral:tRNA from 1 species